UAGAAUUAAUUUUGAAAUGAUACACCUAACUGGGGAUCUGAUGGGAAGAUAUGUGAUACUUGUUGCUAAACUUAAUGGCUCUAUAUAUACUUUGGUUAACGUUUAUGCACCAAAUUCAUGCCCAGGAGAUUUUUUGUACAAAAUUAUGGAAAGGGUUGAUGAAUUAGCAUGUGGUAACAUCAUAAUUGGGGGAGACUUCAACUGUGUAUUGGAUCCAGCACGGGAUAAAAGCCAUAAGAAUGUUAGAGACUAUAAAUUUGUAAAUACCCACGUCUCCGAGUUUUCUAAAUUUUUAGGCAGGAAUUCCCUAUUUGAUUGUUGG